rnacentral:snoRNA from 1 species
AUUUGAUGAUUUGGGCACUGCAUAUGCUUCUUCUUGAACCUCUCCCAAGUCUCACAGAGAGCUUCAGUUGGAAGCUGUCUGAAAUUAUUUAUCUCAUCUCUUAGUU